rnacentral:tRNA from 1 species
CGGGGUGUGGGGAAGUCUGGCCGUUCCCGCUGCACUUGGACUGCAGAGAUCGCUGGUUCGAAUCCAGCCACCCCGACCA